rnacentral:rRNA from 1 species
AUGUUCACUUGGAUCAGCAGCAGCAACACAGGUAGAGGAGCAGUAGCAUCAACACGGGCAGAGGAGCAGCAGCAGCACGGGCUAGCUCCACCAGCGGCAGGGGAGAAGCAGAGGAGAAACAGAGCAGCAGCAGGCACGUGGGCAGAGGAGAAGGAGCAGCACGGCAGCCGGUGGGAGCUCGACGAGGACUUGCGGGAGAUAGAGGAGGACGCGCGCAAGCUCUUGUCCACCGGAUCGUGGAGGCCGGUUCCGGCGAUGCCCGUAGGAGAUCACGGCGGGAGGGGUCGCGGCGGCACACGGGAGGCAGCUCAAGGUGGACUCGCGGCAGCUAGAGGAGGACUCGCGGUAGCUCGAGGAAGAUGA